GUGCCAGCAGCCGCGGGUAAUACGUAGGUGGCAAGCGUUGUCCGGAUUUAUUGGGCGUAAAGCGAGCGCAGGCGGUUUCUUAAGUCUGAUGUGAAAGCCUUCGGCUCAACCGAAGAAGUGCAUCGGAAACUGGGAAACUUGAGUGCAGAAGAGGACAGUGGAACUCCAUGUGUAGCGGUGAAAUGCGUAGAUAUAUGGAAGAACACCAGUGGCGAAGGCGGCUGUCUGGUCUGUAACUGACGCUGAGGCUCGAAAGCAUGGGUAGCAAACAGGAUUAGAUACCCUGGUAGUCCAUGCCGUAAACGAUGAGUGCUAGGUGUUGGAGGGUUUCCGCCCUUCAGUGCCGCAGCUAACGCAUUAAGCACUCCGCCUGGGGAGUACGACCGCAAGGUUGAAACUCAAAGGAAUUGACGGGGGCCCGCACAAGCGGUGGAGCAUGUGGUUUAAUUCGAAGCAACGCGAAGAACCUUACCAGGUCUUGACAUCCUUUGACCACUCUAGAGAUAGAGCUUUCCCUUCGGGGACAAAGUGACAGGUGGUGCAUGGUUGUCGUCAGCUCGUGUCGUGAGAUGUUGGGUUAAGUCCCGCAACGAGCGCAACCCUUAUUACUAGUUGCCAGCAUUUAGUUGGGCACUCUAGUGAGACUGCCGGUGACAAACCGGAGGAAGGUGGGGACGACGUCAAAUCAUCAUGCCCCUUAUGACCUGGGCUACACACGUGCUACAAUGGAUGGUACAACGAGUUGCGAGACCGCGAGGUUUAGCUAAUCUCUUAAAACCAUUCUCAGUUCGGAUUGUAGGCUGCAACUCGCCUACAUGAAGCCGGAAUCGCUAGUAAUCGCGGAUCAGCAUGCCGCGGUGAAUACGUUCCCGGGCCUUGUACACACCGCCCGU
rnacentral:rRNA from 1 species